CUCCUCUGUGUCUGCUCCUCGGCUCUCACUGCUGCCUUCCCACACUGUCCUGGAGCUGGGGCCUCCAGUCCACUAGCCAAGCUGCCGGUCCGUGUCAGAUUUGAAAUAGCGGCGGUCAUAGGUGGACCGGAGCCGGACUGAAGGCUGUUGACCACAGCCGCCUCCCCUGCACCGCAGCCCACAGCCGCCUCCUCCGCCCACAAAUUCUUCCUCCUCACUGCCGCCGACCACAGCAUCCUCAUCCUCCGCACCGCCGACCACAGCCUCCUCUGCACCGCCGCUGCUCAUUAGAUGGGCUUGUAACUUUCUGGAAUUUAUGCAAGCCCCAACAGAGCUUACAACACCAGCCAGCAGCUGCAGCAAGUUUUGAAGGUGGAAAUGUCAGAUAACGCCAGGAAAGUGAUCACCCAGAUCAACAAGUCCUGUUGUAGUGAUGGCAGAGCCGAAUACAAUACAAUGAAUAUACCAGCACUCUGCCUGUGAUAUCAUACAGCUCCCUAUUGCCAUCAUCACAGGUUCCCAAAUAUUUUAUCACAAAUGUGCAGGAUCGGUGACACAGGCUACCAAGCACUUAGAUGGUCCUCCUUUGAUUCUAGCAAAUGAUAAUAGUUAUUGUAUAACUUUAGCUAUGUAAUAGCCUCCUCAAAGACUGGGUUCUAGAGCAGAUAUGGUAAUAGUCUAAUAAAGGAACACUUUAUUUACAAAAGAAGUACAAUGCUUAAUAGGUACAUAAGUGAUAUAAAGAAAAAGAGUUACAGAUUACAUAAACAAAUAUGUUGCCAUUUCAAAUAAAGAAUACAUUUACAGAAUAUGACAUCCAGCCUAUUCUGGCAGGCGGCACAGCUGGGAAAUGAAGAUGUAGUCUCAAAUAGAUUAAUCCCCAAAGUCUGAUAUAAAACAAAAAAAAAACAUACCUUUUAUCACCUGUCUCCCUUGAGUAAGAUUAUAAUCAAGUCUCUGCUGACUGGCUGACCAGUUAAUUAAAUCAUGGUCCAUACUAGGGCUGCCCAUGUAAAUUGUAACUUAAAUACAAUGA